rnacentral:tRNA from 1 species
AACCUCGGGUUGGUUUCGAACCAACGACCAGUCAGUGUUAGUUUGAUGAAGACCACCGACCGCUCUACCACUGAGCUACUGAGGU